ensembl:lncRNA
CAGACCUCUUUUGAUGAUGGCUGGGCUGUGGUAGGCAAUUUCUACACACUGGUAUUGCAGAACCUUCCAGAAGUGGAGAUGAUUUCAAAAUGUUUCAGUGCUCGAGCAGUAAUUUGUGAAUGAUGGAGCUGCUGUUCUCUUAAACGGCUCUCCUGUGCUGUGCCUGUAGACUAAUAUGGAUCGCUCACAUUGGUGCUUCCCAUAAAUUAAGGAACAAUACCCCUGGAGCAACCUGGGCUUACGUGUGUUGCUCAAGGCCACUGUGGCGGUGUCUUGUGAAACCAUACUAACAUGUGCUCAUGCUGAAACAGAUAUCAUGAAAAUUGCUUUCGUAAUGAAUAAGCACAAAGUGAAAUGGAUAAGAGGGCUGCGCUUGAAAGAAAAUGAGGGUCGAGCUGAGAGUUGCUUUUGCCGAGAUUCUUGCGGUGUGGCGAAUGCUGUCUGCCGUUGAUGCGUGGGAAGAAAGCACUU